AGGCGGGCAGGCUGAGAUCUUGCAUGGAAAUCAUGAACCCGGUCUUGCUUUUCGUUUUUGAAACGUUUUGGAAGGAGAGUUAUGAAUAGCCCAGAAAUAGGUCUCAUUUUGUGGGUAGGAAGAAUGAGCAGACGCAUGAAAGCUAAAUCUCCUGGCAAGUGCAGGGGACCACUCUUGGAGUGUGCAGUAAACCCGAGGGGAGGACUUCGCCUGCUGUGAACUCCUGAACCAUCACAUCUGGAGUGAAGGGGCUGGUGAAGCCUUGUAAUAAAUGCAAAGGAUGCUGCUGAGAGCUUUGGUCUGCCUUUAACUCAUUGUGGCAAAGUUGGACAUCCCAAAGAUGGCGUAGAUGAACAUGACGAGGAAAAGCAGGAGGCCAAUGUUGAACAGCGCAGGAAGGGACAUCAUCAGAGCAAAGAGCAGCGUGCGGAUCCCCUUGGCACCUUUGAUCAGGCGUAGGAUUCGUCCAAUCCUGGCCAGGCGGAUGACUCGGAACAGGGACCUUGUGCUCCCUAGAUCAUCUCAAAAGAAAGAACACUUGCAGAAAAGAAACCAACAUCCAUUUUGGAACAGAACAGAAUGUUAGUGACUACACCAGAAAACUUUAUCAACAUGACUGCCUAAAUUUGUGAGCUGAACAAAGAAAACAGCAAUAGAUGUUCUAAUGUGGACUAUGUUGGAGGAGAGCUAGAAGCUCAGUGACCCUCAACCCUACACAAAGAACUACAGACUACUAAGAAGGUCAGAAGAGGGCAUCUGUAGCAGGAGUUACAGAGUGCUGUGAGUCACUUAGAGAGUCUGGGUAUCGAACUUGGUCCUCUGGAAGGAAAUUCAGUGCCAUAACCAUUGAACCAUCUCUCCAGUGUCAA